UUGCAGCCAAUUAAGCCGACUGAGUUCCUUUCCUCAUGGGGCCCAGUGUGCAAUGGCUGCAAACAGCAGCUUCCCUGGUAGUGAUGCAGCCUGUUUGUUGUAUGGGUUGCUCUAAGGGACCUUGGAGACAGUC
rnacentral:snoRNA from 1 species